rnacentral:rRNA from 1 species
AGCGAACGCUGGCGGCAGGCCUAACACAUGCAAGUCGAACGGAUCCUUCGGGAUUAGUGGCGGACGGGUGAGUAACACGUGGGAACGUGCCCUUUGGUUCGGAACAACUCAGGGAAACUUGAGCUAAUACCGGAUGUGCCCUUCGGGGGAAAGAUUUAUCGCCAUUGGAGCGGCCCGCGUCUGAUUAGCUAGUUGGUGAGGUAAAGGCUCACCAAGGCGACGAUCAGUAGCUGGUCUGAGAGGAUGAUCAGCCACAUUGGGACUGAGACACGGCCCAAACUCCUACGGGAGGCAGCAGUGGGGAAGCUUGCGCAAUGGGCGAAAGCCUGACGCAGCCAUGCCGCGUGAAUGAUGAAGGUCUUAGGAUUGUAAAAUUCUUUCACCGGGGACGAUAAUGACGGUACCUGGAGAAGAAGCCCCGGCUAACUUCGUGCCAGCCGCCGCCGUAAUAC